GGGGAUGUAACUGGAAUGGUAGAGUGCUUGCUUUGCUUGCAAGAGGUACGGGGAUCGACACACCGCAUUUCCA
rnacentral:tRNA from 1 species